UAAAGCAAGAAAGGGCGUAUGGGGAAUGCCUAGGCACACUCCGGCGAAGAAGGACGCAGCAAACAGCGAAAUGCGACGGUGAGCGGUAAGCACGUGAAGAGCCGUCGAUAUCCGAAUGGGGGAACCCACACGGAGUCAUAUCCGUGUAUCACAUGUCGAAUACAUAGACAUGAUGAGGCGAGACGCAGGGAACUGAAACAUCUAAGUACCUGCAGGAAGAGAAAAUAAGAAUGAUUUUCUGAGUAGCGGCGAGCGAAAGGGAAAGAGCCCAAACCGAUCUGAGGAUCGGGGUAGUAGGAUCAUCGAUAAAUCAAACAGAGGAUCAUAGAGGAAUCACAUGGGAAGGUGAGCGAGAGAGGGUGAGAGCCCCGUACUCGAAAUGAGAGACUGGAGAGAGAUGACACCUGAGUAGGGCGGGACACGAGAAAUCCUGUCUGAAUCAGCCGGGACCAUCCGGCAAGGCUAAAUACGAGAGAGUGACCGAUAGUGAACCAGUACCGUGAGGGAAAGGUGAAAAGAACCCCGGGAGGGGAGUGAAAGAGAACCUGAAACCAUAUGCCUACAAGAAGUCAGAGCCCGUUAAAGGGUGAUGGCGUGCCUUUUGUAGAAUGAACCGGCGAGUUACUGUAUGGAGCGAGGUUAAGCAGGAUAUGCGGAGCCGAAGCGAAAGCGAGUCUUAAGAGGGCGCGAGUUGCAUGCAGUAGACCCGAAACCGGGUGAUCUAGCCAUGACCAGGUUGAAGUUGGGGUAAAACCCGAUGGAGGACCGAACCGACCCCCGUUGAAACGUUGGCGGAUGAGUUGUGGCUAGGGGUGAAAUUCCAAUCGAACCCGGAGAUAGCUGGUUCUCCCCGAAAUAGCUUUAGGGCUAGCGUCGAGAGAAGAGUUGCGUGAAGGUAGAGCACUGAAUAUGUGAUGGCCCCAUCUCGGGGUACUGAGCAUAAUCAAACUGCGAAUGUCACGCCAACAUGCUCGGCAGUCAGACAGCGGGUGAUAAGGUCCGUUGUCAAGAGGGAAACAGCCCAGACCAUCAGCUAAGGUCCCAAAAUGUAUGCUAAGUGGAAAAGGAUGUGGAGAUGUACAGACAACUAGGAGGUUGGCUCAGAAGCAGCCAUCCUUUAAAGAGUGCGUAACAGCUCACUAGUCGAAUGACUCUGCGCCGAUAAUUUACCGGGGCUAAGCAUACUACCGAAGCUAUGGAUCCCAAGGGAUGGUAGGGGAGCGUUCCAUGAACGGAGAAGUACGACCGAAAGGACGUGUGGAGAUCAUGGAAGAGAGAAUGCCGGUGUGAGUAGCGGAACGUGGGUGAGAAUCCCACGCACCGAAAACCCAAGGUUUCCAGAGGAAGGUUCGUCCGCUCUGGGUAAGUCGGGACCUAAGGCGAGGCCGAAAGGCGUAGUCGAUGGACAACAGGUAGAGAUUCCUGUACCCGUAUAUAUGUGAAGGAAUGACGGAGAGAGGAAGCUGCAGCCAGCGGCUGGAAGAGCUGGUGCAAGCGAGAUAUCGGGAUGGCAGGCAAAUCCACCAUCCGAAACGAGAAGGCGUGAAGCGUACGGAAAGCUACGGCGAGUACGGAAGGCAGUGGAGGAACUUCCAAGAAAAGUUUCUAACGUUAAGUAUAUAUGGCCCGUACCGAAAAUGGACACACAUGGGUGAGGAGAGAAUCCUAAGGUGAGCGAGAGAACUAUAGCUAAGGAACUCUGCAAAAUGACUCCGUAACUUAGGGAGAAGGAGUGCUCAUAGAGAUAUGAGCCGCAGUGAAACGGCCCAAGCGACUGUUUACCAAAAACACAGCUCUCUGCUAAGCCGCAAGGCGAAGUAUAGGGGGUGACGCCUGCCCGGUGCUGGAAGGUUAAGGGGAGGGGUUAACGCAAGUGAAGCCCUGAACUGAAGCCCCAGUAAACGGCGGCCGUAACUAUAACGGUCCUAAGGUAGCGAAAUUCCUUGUCAGGUAAGUUCUGACCCG
rnacentral:rRNA from 1 species